UACGAGGGGUCCUAGCGUUGUUCGGAAUCAUUGGGUUUAAAGGGUCCGUAGGCGGGUCGAUAAGUCAGCGGUGAAAGUCUGCAGCUCAACUGUAGAACUGCCAUUGAUACUGUCGUCCUUGAGUUAUUGUGAAGUGGUUGGAAUAUGUAGUGUAGCGGUGAAAUGCAUAGAUAUUACAUAGAAUACCGAUUGCGAAGGCAGAUCACUAAUAAUUUACUGACGCUGAUGGACGAAAGCGUAGGUAGCGAACAGG
rnacentral:misc_RNA from 1 species